GAUGAACGCUGGCGGCGUGCCUAAUACAUGCAAGUCGAGCGAACAGACGAGGAGCUUGCUCCUCUGACGUUAGCGGCGGACGGGUGAGUAACACGUGGAUAACCUACCUAUAAGACUGGGAUAACUUCGGGAAACCGGAGCUAAUACCGGAUAAUAUAUUGAACCGCAUGGUUCAAUAGUGAAAGACGGUUUUGCUGUCACUUAUAGAUGGAUCCGCGCCGCAUUAGCUAGUUGGUAAGGUAACGGCUUACCAAGGCAACGAUGCGUAGCCGACCUGAGAGGGUGAUCGGCCACACUGGAACUGAGACACGGUCCAGACUCCUACGGGAGGCAGCAGUAGGGAAUCUUGCGCAAUGGGCGAAAGCCUGACGGAGCCACGCCGCGUGAGUGAUGAAGGUCUUCGGAUCGUAAACCUCUGUUAUUAGGGAAGAACAAAUGUGUAAGUAACUCUGCACGUCUUGACGGUACCUAAUCAGAAAGCCCCGGCUAACUACGUG
rnacentral:rRNA from 1 species